rnacentral:misc_RNA from 1 species
GAUGAAGAACGUAGCGAAAUGCGAUAAGUAAUGUGAAUUGCAGAAUUCAGUGAAUCAUCGAAUCUUUGAACGCACCUUGCGCUCCUUGGUAUUCCAAGGAGCAUGCCUGUUUGAGUAUCAUUAAAUUAUCAACUGUGCCAAUUUGGUUACAGAUUGGAUGUGGGAGAUUCUUUUUGCAGGCCUUUGACUUCUCUUUGAGAAAAAAAAUAAAAGGUCGGCUCUCCUGAAAUGUAUUAGCAGUGCCUUUGUUGGUUCAUUAGGUGUGAUAAAUUGUCUACAUCUUCGCAUGAUACCUUCAUUUGUAAAGGCCAUAUUGCUUCUAAAUUGUCUUUGAUUGGACGCAAAACAUAUAUAAUGUUUGACAAACUUGAUCUCAAAUCAGGCAGGACUACCCGCUGAACUUAAGCAUAUCAAUAAGCGGAGGA